rnacentral:rRNA from 1 species
AGUGAACGCUGGCGGUAGGCCUAACACAUGCAAGUCGAACGGCAGCACAGUAAGAGCUUGCUCUUACGGGUGGCGAGUGGCGGACGGGUGAGGAAUACAUCGGAAUCUACUUUUUCGUGGGGGAUAACGUAGGGAAACUUACGCUAAUACCGCAUACGACCUACGGGUGAAAGCAGGGGAUCUUCGGACCUUGCGCGAUUGAAUGAGCCGAUGUCGGAUUAGCUAGUUGGCGGGGUAAAGGCCCACCAAGGCGACGAUCCGUAGCUGGUCUGAGAGGAUGAUCAGCCACACUGGAACUGAGACACGGUCCAGACUCCUACGGGAGGCAGCAGUGGGGAAUGUUGGACAAUGGGCGCAAGCCUGAUCCAGCCAUACCGCGUGGGCGAAGAAGGCCUUCGGGUUGUAAAGCCCUUUUGUUGGGAAAGAAAAGCAGCAGGUUAAUACCCCGCUGUUCUGACGGUACCCAAAGAAUAAGCACCGGCUAACUUCGUG